AGCGUGAAAAGCGUGGAGGAGUCCACAGUUCCCGGCAAGGAGACCACCGAGAUGGAUGGCGAUAAAGUCAGGGAGGGUCCAGGACUUUUCCACUUUUUUGUCAUGUUACAAUUCUGCAGCGACAGCAGUAAAAAAUAAUAUCCCCACACCCGCCGCCCCCAACCGGCAACCGCAACUUGUGCAACAUCAUAAACCCAUUUGCGUUUUUAAUUAGUAACAUCGCAAGUUGGCGGACUGAAGCGGUCGGCCGAGGGCGAAAAGUAAAUGACCAUGCACAAAAUGUUGCACAGAUAACAAGUCCUGGCCUCACAAGCCUCACAAAAAAGAAAAACUAGAGCAAAUAAGUGCGAACGCAACUAGCCAUGGAACAGGAACUGGGCACUGCUAACUGGGAACAGGGAGCAGCCGGUGGCCAGUUAAUCCUCAUCACCG